UCCUGACAGGGCUCCUGUGCUCUUACUCUAGGUUCCUUCCCUGUAAGUGUCCAGGUCCAGCCUGACCCUAGCUCUCUACCACACAGUGACCUGGGCUCAGCAGAGGACCGGCCGGAGGCUUCUGCAGCCCCAGACACCAAUCAUCUGUGGCUGGAGUUCAGCCACCCCGCGGAGAGCCUUGCUCUGACCGUGGAGGAAGUGAUGGAUGUGCGCCGUGUGCUGGUCAAGGCUGAGAUGGAGAAGUUCCUGCAGAACAAGGAGCUCGUCAGCAGUCUCAGGAAGGGGAAGAUUUGUUGCUGUUGCCGAGCCAAGUUCCCGCUGUUCUCCUGGCCACCCACCUGUCUCUUUUGCAAGAGGUCACAGCCCAGAGGCCACUCAGCUCCUUGACUGGAGGCAGUAAAGCCGAGAAGCCAGAGGGACCAAGGCAGCCAGAGGUCUUAGUGCAGAUUUCCAGCCGGGGGAGAGCUGUCCCCAGGGCAAGCCUCGGGCCUGCAGGAGAUUGUCCUGGAGUGUUCAGUAGGGGACCAAUCAGCACAUACAAGGAAAGGAAGCUCCUGAAGGCUGGGAAAGAAUCAUCCUGAAGCAGGUACUGGCAGACUCCGGCCCCCAGGCCAAAUCUGGCCUACUACUUGCCUUGUGAAUAAAGUUUUAUUGGAACAAAGCCACACCCAUUUGUUUAUUAUUCAUUUAGCCAUAUCCAAAAUGUUUGCUCUGUGACCCUUUACAGAAAAAGUGUACUGACCCUGUGCUAAAGCUUUCAAGGAACAGUACUAGGAAUAGUGUGUGUUCCCACCAGCCAUGGUGGAAAUGUUGUAAUUCACGAACCAUUGAAAGUCUUGUUCCACUAGUGGGGAAUAAGUGCCCCCAGACUGAGCAUUGUUCCAGACCUAAAAGUUCAUAAAAGCAAGACUUGGAAAUAGUUUGGAAAGGACCAAACUAUUCCUAACUAUCUUAUCUAGCACUCAGCAAGAGAAAAUGUCUAGCAUCCAAAGAUUAUCAGGCAUGUCAAGAAGCAAGAAAAUACGACCCAUGAUAGAAAAAUCAGUCAAAAUUGCCCAGAACUGGGGCACCUGGGUGGCUCAGUUGGUUGAGCAUCCGACUCUUGAUUUCAGCUCAGGUUGUGAUCUCACAGUUUAUGGGAUCCAGCCCUGCACUGGGCUCCGUGCUGAGUGUGGAGCUUGGUUGGGAUUCUCUCUCUCCCCCGCUGCCCCUCCCUUCCUUGCUCACAUGCACGUAUAUGCUCACUCUCUCUCACUAUUUAAAAAAAAAAAAAGAAAGAAAAGAAAAAAGAAAGACUCCCGGAACUGACACAGACAUUCGAAUUAGCAGUUCUGAAGUUCUAAGCUAUUUCAUAUGUUCAAAAAGUUAGAGGCAUGAAAGAUAAAAAGACACAAAGUUCUAGACCUGGAACUAGAAUGUUUGGAUGAACGUUUGGAAUUACACUGGAUUGAACAUCCAGAAGAAUGUGCAGAAGAAAACAUUAGUGAACUCAAAGACCAAGCAAUAGAAACCACCUAAAAUGAAAACACUGAGAGAAAAUGUUAUUUUUUUUUUUUUAGAAUGUUUAAAAAGUUUUACUUAUUUAAGUAAUCUCUACACCCAACGUGGGGCUCAAACUCACGACCACAAGAUCAAGAGUCCCAUCCUUUAACGACUGAGCCAGCCAGGCGCUCCAGAGAAAAAAUAACUUAAAAAGUGAAAAUGGUCUCAGUGACCUGUGGGUUAAUGUUAAGCCUAAUAUAGAUGUAAUUAAAGUCCCCAAAGAAAAAGGGGGGGGGGGACAGAAAAAGUAUUUGAAGAAAUAAUAGCUUAAAAAGUUUUCCAAAUUUGAUGAAAAAUAUAAACUUACAAGAAACUUAAUCCCAAGCAUGAGAAACAUGAAUAAAAUCAUAUCAAGCCAUAUAUUAAUCAAAUUGAUUAAAAACCAGUAAUAAAGAGAAUUUCUUAAAAUCAGCCAGCAAAUAAAGACUUCUCACUGAGAUAACGUGAGCAAGAGGAGAGUAAACCAGCGUUUCUGAUGGACUGAAAAACUGUCAAUCUAAAACCCUAAACCAAGAAAGAGUAUGCUUCAAAGAUAAAGACAAGGGACACCUGGGUGGCUCAGGUGGUUGUCUGACUCUUCAUUUUAGCUCAGGUCGUGAGAUGGAACCCAGCACGCUCAGCCUGGAGCCUGUUUGAGAUUCUCUCUCCCUCUCCCUCUCUCUGCAGCACACAAGUGCGCUCUCUCUCUCUCUCUCUCUUUCUCAAAUAAAACAGGGACACCUGGGUGACUCAGUCGAUUGGGUAUCUGAUUUCAGCUCAGGUCAUGAUCUCGCGGUUCCUGGGUUUGAGCCCUGGGUCAGGCUCUGUGCUGAUGGCUCAGAGCCUGGAGCCUGCUUCCGAUUCUGUGUCUUCCUCUCUUUGCCCCUCACCUGCUCAUGCUCUGUCUCUGUCUCAAAAAUAAGUAAACUUAAAAAAAAAAUAAUAAAACAAACGAACAAGCAAAAACAAAGACACAAAUAAAAACAUAUCCAGAAAUACAAAAAACCAAAAGAAUUCUUUACCAGUAGACCCACACUACAAUUUUCAACAAGGUCCUUCACAUAGAAGGAAAAUGAUAGCAAAUGGAAAGAGCGGGAGAGCACCAGAAACAGCAAGUACGAAGAUGACAUAGAAGAGUAUUUUGUUAUAACUUUUUACAAGGUAAAUCAAUAUCUAGCACCCAACAGGGUGAAAUUCAGUGCUUGGUAUCCAAUCGAUGAUUACCAGGCAUGCCAAAAAAUUAACAGCAAGGUACUGUAGGACUUGCAUCUGUAAGAAGUAUCAUAACUGUAGCAUUAAGGCCAAGGAGGGGAUCAGAGGUAUGCUAUAGGAGACUUCUUGUGCUCUACGUGAAGUGGUAAGAUAUUAUUGAAGGUAGAGUUAAGGAGUGUAGUGUACGUCUGAAAGCAACCACUAAAACAAUAAAACAGAGGAAUAGCGUGGAAUCAUAAAAAAUAGUCGAUUAAUACAGGAGGCAGAAAGGAAAAGGGGACAAAGAACAAAUAGGGCCAAAAGAAAACAAACAGCAAAACAACAGCCCUAAAUUCCACUGUGUCAUAAUUACCUUAACUGUGAAAGGUCUAAACAAUUGGACUAAUAGGCCGUGUCCCAGAUUGAGUGAAGAAAGCAAGACUGCUGCCUGCAAACAUGCGCUUUAUGUAUGUAUGUAUGUACUUCUUUAUGGAUGUAUGUGUGUAUUUACAUAUUCAUGUAUGUAUGUAUUUAUGCGCAGAUGAGUGAGGGGCAGAGAGAGAAUCCUAGGAGGGGCAGAGGGUGGAGGAGGGAGGGAGGUGGCGGAGAGAGAGAGAGAGAGAGAGAGAGAGAGAGAAGUGGGGCUCAAGCUCACCCAAUGUGGGACUCAAACACACAAACCCUGAGAUCAUGACCUGAGCCAAGGUCAGAUGCUUAACAACUGAGCCACCCAGGCACCUAAGACAUGUACUUUACUUUUUUAUUUAUAAAAAAAAUUUUUUUUAAUGUUUAUUUAUUUUUGAGAGACAGAGUGUGAGCAGGAGAGGGGUAGGGAGAGAGGGAGACACAGGAUCCGAAGCAGGUUCCAAGCUCCAAGCUGUCAGCACAGAGUCCGACUCAGGGCUCAAACUCACGAACCGUGAGAUCAUGACCAGAGCCGAAGUACAACGCUUAACGGACUGAGCCACCCAGGCGCCCCUAAGACAUGUACUUUAAAUAAAAAGGCAAAAGUUGGUUAGGAGAAGAAUGGAGAAAGAUAUGCCAUGCCAAUACCAGUCAAAAGAAAGAUGACAUUUAUAUCAAAGUAGAUGGCAAAAAACAUUACUGGAGAUAAAGGAGUCCCUUUCCUAACGACAGAGGGAGGAAAUAACCCUUCUGAACAUUUCAUAUACCUAACCAGAGAUUCAAAAUACAUGCAGUAAAUAUCUGAUAAAGUUGCAAGGCAAAAUAGAUAAAUCCACACUUAAAGUGAGAGAUUUCGAUAGCCUUCUCUCAAUAAUUGGUAGGGCUUGUAAACAGAAAAAAACUAAGAAGAUUUGAAUGACACUGACAACCAACCUGAUCUGCUAUCCAUAGAGCACUCCGCCAACCACAGCAGAGUGUACAUGCUUCUUAUGUGCACGAGGGAUAUUUACCAAAAUACACCAUAUUCUGGGUCAGAAAACAAGUCUCAAAAACGUGGAAGGAUUCAAGUCAUGGAAAGUAAGUUUCCUGACCGCAGUGAAAUCAAAUAUAAUUAACCUAGAGUUUUCUUGGUGGCAAAACCAUUAUGAGACAUCCAUGUAAGACAGCACAGUCCCUUGCUUUAAAAAAAUGAACUUGAGGGGCGCCCGGGUGGCUCAGUCGGUUAAGCGUCCGACUUCAGCUCAGGUCACGAUCUCGCAGUCCGUGAGUUCGAGCCCCGCAUCGGACUCUGGGCUGAUGGCUCAGAGCCUGGAGCCUGCUUCCGAUUCUGUGUCUCCCUCUCUCUCUGCCCCUCCCCCGUUCAUGUUCUGUCUCUCUCUGUCUCAAAAAUAAAUAAAAACGUUAAAAAAAUUAAAAAAUGAACUUGGACCAUCUGUCCUAAUGCAGAGAAGAGCCCCAGGUGUAUCUUUAUAGAAUAGUAUGCAUAACACCCCACUUCAUUUAUUUUUGUUUUAUUUUAAGCGUGUAUCUUUGUCCGUCAUACUUAGAUCUAGAGAAGGGGAAACGCGUCACCAGGGUCUGCCACUGAGGGUGGGCUUUACGAUUUGCAGUCACGGCUCUCUCUAGUGUCUGAACUUGUACAGGAAGGCAUUUGUGUUUUAAGUCAGCAGUGGGGAUUCAAAAGAUGUCAAUCACUGCUUAAUACUGACUGCUCGGGGCACCUCUGGCUCAGAUGGUGCCUCUGUGGCAGGAGGCGUCAGGCACAUGCAAGUGCAGAGGGCGUGAGAAAGCUCCAGACCGAAAUGUUUCAGAGAAAAAGCCAGCUGUGAGGGGCAGAAAUAUUUUGGAUGCAGCCUAAGUAAAAAGAAAAGAUUUGGGGGGUAAAACACGUAAAGCACUGAGGUAACUGGUCUCUAGCAGAAGGGCGGGCAGUUUGCCUGGUGGGAAUGGUCUGUCUGUGGCUUCUUCACUGCUGACCCCGCGUCCCUCU